AACGCGAAGAACCUUACCCAGUCUUGACAUGCAGUGGACGUUUCCAGAAAUGGGAAUUCCCUUCGGGGCCGCUGCACAGGUGCUGCAUGGCUGUCGUCAGCUCGUGCCGUGAGGUGUUGGGUUAAGUCCCGCAACGAGCGCAACCCUUAUCAUUAGUUGCCAACAUUUCAGGUGGGAACUCUAAUGAGACUGCCCGGGUUAACCGGGAGGAAGGUGAGGAUGACGUCAAGUCCGCAUGGCCCUUAUGACUGGGGCUACACACGUGCUACAAUGGUCGGUACAGAAGGCAGCGAAACCGCGAGGUGAAGCAAAUCCCAAAAAGCCGAUCUCAGUUCAGAUUGUAGUCUGCAACUCGACUACAUGAAGACGGAAUUGCUAGUAAUGGCGAGUCAGCAACAUCGCCGUGAAUACGUUCCCGGGCCUUGUACACACCGAGUAUA
rnacentral:rRNA from 1 species